UACGAAGGGGGCUAGCGGUGUUCGGAAUCACUGGGCGUAAAGCGCACGUAGGCGGCGCGUUAAGUCAGGGGUGAAAUCCUGGAGCUCAACUCCAGAACUGACUUUGAUACUGGCGUGCUCGAGUGUGGGAGAGGUUGGUGGAACUCCGAGUGUAGAGGUGAAAUUCGUAGAUAUUCGGAAGAACACCAGUGGCGAAGGCGGCCAACUGGCCCAUUACUGACGCUGGGGUGCGAAAGCGUGGGGAGCAAACAGG
rnacentral:rRNA from 1 species